GUCAGGGGCGCGGGCCGGGAGACUUUCUUUGUGAAACUCCGUCGGUGCUAGUCGGGCCGGGCCUCCGCCGCGGACGAGCGCCCGCGAGGCGGGACCCUCCCCUUCGUCCGGGUUCCAGCCCCGCCUCGCGCUACUCGGCUGCUGGACCUGGUCUGCCGCCUGCCUGCCCCAGGUUCCGCGGGAGUUGUGUGUGCGCGCGCGCGCGGGGUGUGUUUGUUGGGGGGGUCGGGGGAGGUGUACAGUCGGCGCCCGGCGCCUCUCCUUUGCUUCUGUCCCCGCGGGGUGGCGGCUGCCCCCCAUCAGUGGCCCUCGUCCAGGUAGACGGCAGCCACUGGGAGACAGGUGUCGGUGCAACCCGAGGUGGCUCAGGUGCAGACAGCCUCAGGUGGAAUCUCGGGGAGUAAGCUGCCCGUCUCAGAAGGAAGCAAGUCUGUUGGGCUCCAGAAGUGUGUUGCCAGGAUGGAUGUUCUCAGGAGAGAGUCUUGAAAUAUUCCAUGUGUGGGAAAAUGACUUUCCAUAUAGAUGCAAAUCCAGAUAUAAACUUGAAAAAGCAUGUGAAGAAGUUAUGUUCAACAAGUACUGCAUUUCAAAGGCUGCCUUAAAUUUAGAGAGAGUUGUGUAUCAUGUUGUAGCUUAUGUAGUGGUCAAAGUCAUGGGAUCUACACCUUAUUGUGCCACCUGUAAAGGAAGAACGCUACCAUUGCCUACUUCACAGGGUUGUUGUGAGGAUUAAAUGAGUUAAUACAUAUAUGUUAUUUAAACCAGUUCCAGGCACGUAGGAAGUGCUAAAUAAAUGUUUGGUGUGGUU